CAAGAACCCCCUUCACACGUGUAGACAAAGGGACCCAUCAACACAACCUAAAUAUGCACUCUAAAAGUUUUUCCGUGGACGCGACUUUACGCCAAGACCUCGCAAAAUGCUCAGGCCACAUUCAGUUUUGGGAUUAUGAAGAAUGGAUCGCAACUUUUGUCAACGGACAAGCUUAUACGGAUACUUGAACGAACUUGUAUUAUUUCUCUUUAGUGGAAUAUAACUUUUCUUUGGGAUUAUUCGGCUGUGUGUAAUGUGAAUGGACGUCCUGACAUAAACCAAAGCCACACUCCCCUCUGCAGGGUCAAGUGUCAGAAUCUAGCCGUGUUCACAAUCAUCUGCUGAUGCAAACGGCUAUCCUAUCAUAGAGUAGAAGAGACCACUCAUUCACACAGGUUGAACCAUGUUGAGAGUUCAGGAGCAACAUGAGGACACCACAGCUCUUUACUCAGAAAGUGGAGAGAGAUAUAGAGACAGAUCCAGACAUACGCGUGGGAAGCAUGUUGUUCGCUCUUCCAGCGAUUCGCCGGCCAGCAGUGACAUUUGGUGCAGUGAAGGGGCUUCUCAUGAAGUUAUUCUUCAGGCUGUAAUCUCUAUGGGUGUCCGGUUUCAGCAGCGUGGCAUAUGCCAGACAAAGCCUUCCUUUCAGACGUGCAGGUCAGACCCGGGGACGCUCGCCGAUCUGCUCUGGACUCUUAUUCUCCUCCUCUUCCUCAUACGGCUGCAAACAGUGGAGACACUGUAUGGAACUUACAGCACAAAGGUUACACCGCUAUCAAAAUCUACAGGCCCUCGGAUGAACCAAAGCACCAGUGUGAAGGGAUGAACGGGAUGUGAAUGCUCUGCUUUGUGAUUGGACAGCCUGCUGCAGAAAAGGAACAGGAUGAUUUGGCGGAAACUGCUUUUUGGCGCCUGGCUCAGUAAGAACAUCCAUCACUGGUGGGCAGGACACAGCGAGACACUGUAAACGGCCAAAGUUCACGCCGAAAGGAAUGCUGAACUCCUCGAGAGGAGCCAAAGAACUCCAGCAUCAGCAAAGAGGAGCCGAAGGAUUCUCAUCUCCUCUCUGCUCCUGUCCAACCCUAGAGGCCCGUGAACAAUAGGCCUCUCUACACAGGAAGUCUUUACACCAGCCAGAGCUGAAUCCCAGCAACUCUAUUACCAUUCCAGUUGCCACAGGGUGUUGAGCCAUGGUGAACUCCGACCCCUGGCCUUAUUUUCAAAGGCGAUCUUUGAUCCCUAUUGUGGCUCAGCGAUCCUCUCCGAAUCUAGACGUGCAGAGAGGGGAGCAGGUGAAUCGCUCUUUCUCUGCUGUUGUUUUUGAUGUGGAACAUGGUCUGAGGCGAUUUCUCAGCAUGUGCAGAGAGCAAACGCAUUGCAAGGAUGGAAGUCAAGAAAUUUGGCUUAAGACGUCAAAAUCAAAAGUCUACAGCUAGUGAUUCAGAUGUUGGCUAAAGUUUUGUUUGUUCCGUCUUGACGUCCCAAUCGUUUAUUCAAAUGGUUUGCUCAAAGUCUACUUUGUUUUGGUCUUGUAUCGAUUAAGAUGUUGACGAUAAGGUCCAGCAUCUGAAACAUGACUAUCUUUGGAAACUCAUAAGUUUAGAGAACCUGAAUCGAGUUAACAUAUUUAAAACAGCACUUCGGCCAAACAUAAACAUGAUCUGUUAAGGCUGAAAGCACCUUGCGUCCUCCAAUCAGCAUUUAAAUCAACAUCACAAAAUGUUUUGCAUUUAAUUCUGUACGUUCUCAUUUGACUGCAUAUGAUACUUGAACUUUUUUCUCUCUCACUCUGUCUGUGUAUAACUGUGUGUAAAUCAAUUUGGGCUUCGGGCUGUUCUGCCUCACAGCCUCUUUUUCCUUUGAUUUGGUUCCCACCGCUGCCUAGCAGAGGGCUACAGCCAGCCUUAAGUUCUUUAAGGGAUUUGUACUCCCUCUAGUCUUAGCUUACCAACACCCGCAUUGACUCUAUCUGCCGCCCUCUGUGGGCUCCCGAACAAUGCUGGGAGAAUCUGUAAACUUCGACUUGAUUAUAUUGGAGUACCGUCAAAGGAAAAGAGGCUUUCGGUACAGACCUACCUUCAGGGCAAAUGGCCUUCAAAGGCCGUGAUCAGAAACUGUUUAUAAUGAAAUUAUGCAUAAACAUUACAAACAUUCGGGAAUGUUUACUGCUUUCAGUUAAGCAUCUACCUUACCCUUGAAAGACAACCUUGUAAACUGGAAUUGAGGUUAAUUUACGCCAGCUAAAAUAAAUGCCAGCUGAGAUUUGAUUUAUUUGUUUGCUAGAUCUGUGCUGACUGUAUUUUCCUUUUUUUUCAAAUGGAAAUGUAAUCAUCUUUAAUAAAAACAGUUUCAGACCCUUUUCCAACUGUUUACUGUUUACACACAAUACAUUUCCAUGCUAAAUUGUCUUGGCUUGUAUUUCCCCGUUUAAAUAACAACCUCACAAGAAACAGACGCACAUGUUCACUAUUUUUCUUUUUCGUUCAUGUCGAGGAGAGACAGAAAAGAGAAUUAGUGAUUCUUUACAUGUUCUCUCUCACCAGCUCUUCUGACGGUCUCAUCUCAUGUAAUGCAGCGCCCCCUGUGAACACAGACAGGUACUGCAGGCUUCAUUCAAGCCCGUGCAAGUGUGCAUGUCUGGAGUUCAUUUAUGUGAAACAGAGUUAGUUAGCUCGCCUGGGCUUCAAAGAAACAUUUUCCUGUGAUUGAGGUCGACUGUAAUGAUGUUUUAUGAACAUGCAAGAGGGAAACUCCAGAGAAGAAAUGUUUUAGCACCUCUCCCUUUGAACCUUGGGCUGUUUCUGUUCGUUCCCUCAACCUGUUUUAUCACCUCAUAAAGACGCAGGCGUGUUAGCGAACUUAUAUUUCCUAUUUUUAAUUAAAGCCAAAGUUAAUGUCACAUUUACCUGUUUAAUUGCUACUACUUGACUGUAAUGAAUGGUGAACACAUGCUUUUGUUGUGUCUUGGGACAAAAUGGAUGUCCUAAGUGUUCCUCAUAUACGUGUGAAAUAUAACUUUAUUCAAGUCAAUUGUAUUUUUGAAGCGCUUUCCACAAUUUUUAUUGUUGCAAAGCAGCUUUACAUACAUCAUACAAAAAAAAAGAAUACAAAUAAUACUAGGGGAAAAAUUUAAGAGAAGAUAUGGUAUUAAGAUACAAGUUUUUCUUUAUGCAAUGUACACUGAUGUAAGUGGAUUGUCAGAAACUGUAAUCAAUUAAAUUAAAGUAUAUUUAAUUUAGGUAUAUUAAUAUUUUAAAUAUUGUUCUCAGGACCGGGAGCCUAAAAUUGCAAUAUAGCAGUACAAUUUGAAAUAAUACCAAAAUGUGCAGAAAGAAUAUAUUUGUCAAAAUAUGUUAACGUGCAUGUGUGUUGUUAAAUGCAAGUUGUUAAUAUUUAUGGAUUAAACUAAAUCAGCAGUCUCCCAGCUAGUAAUGGUGGCAAGGAACCAAAACUCCACUAUUGAUGUAAAUGUACAGUCAAUACACCAAGAAAUUCAUGAAUAUACUUUUUUUAUU